GCCUGGAUGGCUCAGUCGGUCGAGCGUCUGACUUCAGCUCAGGUCAUGAUCUCGUGGUUCGUGGGUUCGAGUCCCACAUCGGGCU
rnacentral:tRNA from 1 species